rnacentral:lncRNA from 1 species
CUUCUCUACAAUUUAGUUGAGUUUUUAUUCUCAUUACAAGUUAAGAUAAAUUAAAAACACAAAAUCUUUGUAUUCAUUCUUCAUGUUAUAACAAAAUUUCCAUCUUCUACAAAUUAUUAUUAUUAUUAUUAUUUUUUGGUGUUCUUGUGAUCUUUACUUCAUAUAAUUGUCUUAUUCUCCUUUCUUUUCAUAACAAAUUUGUAUCUAAAUUUUCCCGCUUUCAAUAAAGUGGUUUCAAAUCUGGUCUGCUCCAUAACAUUGACAGCUAAAUUUGAAUAAAUAAAUUUGUUCUCUCUUGAAUUUGAAAUGAGAAAAUUCUACUAUAAAUUGAGUACCAUAUUCUGGAGACAAUCCCACUACUGCUCAAAUACAUGAAUUUUCUGAGUGAUUCUUCAGAUUGUCUCAUUUUUUCUUCUUUCAAUUUAUUCGAAGCCAUAGAAGCUGACUGGGGAGAGAGUUUCUUGGCCUGAGAGAAAGAUCUGAUAUUGUUCUCAUCGUGUUGUUGGAUUAAUCUGAACGUGUAAUUCCAUCUAUAGAAACCCUGAUCUUUCAAUGCCUCCACAGCUCCCACACUGGCUGCCGCAAUCCAUGCUCUGAUUCUUGAACUCAUUAUGUUCAAGAAUUUGCUUGUUGAAUAUAAGCUUUUGAGUUGUAAAAGAGACUUGAGAAUUCUUUCUAUUUUGUUGAUUCCUUUUGUGGUGGAGAAGCAUAUAUAUAACUAUGCUGUAGCAAGUGAACACAAAACCAGAGGCUCUGUGUCCCGUGGUUUGAGUUUUCUUAUGUGCUGU